rnacentral:lncRNA from 1 species
UAUGGAAGCUAGAAGAACUUUUAUAGUAAUGAAAACAACGAGUUACAGCAACUAAAUGAUAAUAGGCAGCCUUUCGAGAGGGCCGGAUCUCUCCUAAAUGGCACUUACAUCAAUCAGGUCAUACCUCUCAUCCUUUCUCCCCUCUUAUUUAUAAGUGUGCCAAAACAGAUUCCUAACAGAAUUAGUUACUACCCCCACUCCCUCCCCUUCUCUUGAUUCUUCUAGAAUACAUGUGCGUGAUUGGGGGCCUAUCAAUCACCCUCCCCAAUUCAGCCACCUUGUCCUCAAGGUGGAAGGUGGGAAAUUGUUGGUUGAUUAGGCUGUAAGGUUCCCAGGUGGCUUCCAUUGGAGGCAGUCCUUUCCAUUUAAUCAGUACUUCCCUAUCCUCAGCAUCACUGGUUGGAAUAGCUCGAGCACCCAAAACUGUUUCUGGCUCUACCGUUAGUUCCCAGUCUGCACCCAAGUUCAGUGGUAGUUGAGUGGUCAGAUGAUGUUCCCCAACUGCUCUUCGUAGCUGUGAAACAUGAAAGACUGGAUGAAUUGCGGUCCCCGGCGGCAGCUCUAGUUUAUAGGCAACUGUCCCGAUCUUAGCCACAAUUUUAAAAGGUCCAUAGUAGCGAGGCGCUAGCUUCUCAUUGAUUCGGUGUGCCAAUGUUUUGCGCCGAUACGGCCUCAUCUUCAAAUAGACUAAAUCACCCGUAGAGAAUUCAACCAACCGUCGGUGCUUAUCAGCCAUGUUUUUCAUUUGCUGUUGAGCUCUCAGCAAGUGAAUCUUGAGUUCCUCCAGGACCCUGUCACGUUCUACCAAUUGUUGAUCCAAGGAAGAAACAAUGGUGGUGCCCUUCUCAAAUGGCAACAGAGUUGGGGGAUCUCUCCCAUACAGUAUGCGAAAGGGUGUCAAAUGUGCGGAUACAUGGAAAGAUGUGUUGUAUGAGAGUUCUGCCCAAGCCAGAAAACGAUGCCAUUCCUUAGGUCUGAAUGUAGCAAAACAGCGCAGAUAUGUUUCGACACUCCGAUUCACCACUUCUGUCUGGCCAUCGGUUUGAGGGUGAUAGGCCGAACUGUGCUUUAAUUUUGUCCCUUGCAGACGAAACAUUUCGCUCCAGAAUUUGCUUAGAAAUACUUUGUCUCUGUCCGAUACUAUGGAGCGUGGCAUCCCGUGUAAACGAACGAUUUCCUUGAUAAAGAUUGAAGCGACUCAGGGUGCGGUGAAUGGAUGUUUAAGUCCAAUGAAAUGAGCAUACUUACUUAGUCGAUCCACCACCACCAGAAUGGAAUCAAAUCCCUCCGACUUAGGCAUACCUUCUAUGAAGUCCAUAGAUAUGUCUUCCCAAACCCGUUCCGGAAUGGGUAGGGGUUGUAAUAGGCCGGCUGGAGUUAAUGUUGAGUAUUUGCACUGUUGGCAAAUUUCACAAGCAGCCACAUACUCCCGAAUGUCCUUCUUCAUGCCAACCCAGUAAAAUGUGCCAACCACUCUCUUGUAGGUUUUAAGAAAUCCUCCAUGUCCUCCAAUUUUGCUAUCAUGUCCUUCCUGUAGGGCAAGUCGGACCAAAGGAGAGUCCUUUGGUAUGGUGAUUCUGUCCUUGUAUAAUAGGACUUCUUGCACAAUUGUAUAGCCUGGGUAAGACAACGGGUUAUCCUUAAUGGCAUUCCUCAUCAUUCUCAUAUGCUGAUCCUCCAUUUGUGCUCUAAUGACUUCAUCUAUUUGCAAGACACCCGGAAUGCUGAGAGCCAUAAAUGUUACCGUCCCUCCUUUUCUGGAUAAUGCAUCAGCUGCCCUGUUCUCCAGCCCAGGUUUAUAUUCGAUGUCAAAGUCGAAUCCCAACAAUUUUGUCAACCAUUUCUGAUACUCCACAUUGAUCACUCGCUGUUCGAGGAGAAAUUUGAGGCUCUUUUGAUCUGUUCUUACCACAAAUCGCGUUCCCAGAAGGUAGUGUCUCCAUUUUUGUACUGCCAAAGCUAUUGCCAUAAGCUCCCUUUCAUAAAUAGACUUUCCUUGAGUCCUGGGUGGAAGGACCUGGCUGAAAUAGGCUACAGGUCUUUGAUUCUGCAUUAAAACGGCACCUAAACCAAUACCAGAAGCAUCAGUUUCAAUAAUAAAAGGCUGUGAAAAAUCUGGAAGGGCUAAUACCGGAUUUGUUAUCAUGGCCUUUUUAAGUUUAUUGAAUGCAACUUCAGCCAUGUCAUUCCAUCCGAAACCAUCCUUUUUUAAUAGUUGAGUAAGAGGCCAGGCCAUUUUCCCAUACCCUUCCACAAACCGCUUGUAAUAACCUGUUAAUCCUAGAAAUCCCCUCAGCUCCUUCAGAUUUUUUGGUCUGGGCCAGUCACUCAUUGCUGCAAUUUUGGACUGGUUAGCAGCGACUCCCAAUUCUGAGAUAAUAUGCCCGAGGUACUCAAUUUUCCUUUGCCCAAAAGAACACUUUUUCUUGUUGGCGAAAAGCCGAUUGUUUACCAGGGUCUGCAAUACAUCCCUCAAGUGGUCUUUGUGCUCCUCUUUCGUCUGACUGUAUACCAAUAUGUCGUCAAAGAACACCAAAACACACUUCCUGAGCAUAUCUCUGAAAAUAUCAUUCAUUAAGGACUGAAAGGUGGCCGGUGUGUUAGUCAAGCCGAAGGGCAUGACCAGGAAUUCAUAAUGUCCUUCAUGAGUUCGAAACGCAGUCUUUGGCACGUCUUCCGCCUUAACCCGAAUCUGGUGGUAACCUGAUCGGAGGUCGAUUUUUGAGAAUAUCUUAGCUCCAUGUAACUCAUCCAGUAAUUCAUCGAUGACAGGGAUUGGAAAUUUGUCAGGCACAGUCACUUUGUUUAAAGCUCGGUAAUCUACACAAAAACGCCAACUCCCAUCCUUCUUUUUUACUAAGAGUACCGGGCUUGAGAAAGGGCUGGUGCUGUGUUGAAUGAUACCGGCUGCCAACAUCUCUCGCACUAGUCGCUUAAUUUCAUUUUUUUGAAAGUGGGGAUAUUGGUACGGUCGGACACUUACUGGUUCAGCCCCAGACUUUAACACUACUGCAUGGUCUUGUCUUCGUUUGGGAGGCAACUGUGUGAUAUCCUCAAAGACUGCGUUAUAUUCUUCCAGCACUUCUUCAACAAUUUCCGGUGGCCUUUGCAAAGGUGGAUUGUGGGAUAACGUGAUGUUCCCUAAUUCCAGUAACAGCCCCUCGCCUUGUUCCUUGAAAGCCUUCCACAUGGAUUUCAAUGACACUGGAAUUUUACUAAGGCUCGGAUCUCCUUGUAAAUUAACAGUCACCCCUUCCUUGGCGAAGGACAUUGUGAGAUUCUUCCAGUCGACUUGCAUCCUUCCUAAUUUCCGUAGCCACUGCAUUCCGAGUAUGACAUCGGAACUCCCCAAAUCCAAGGGCAGGAAGUCUUCCACCACUUCCAGGCCCGGCAGCUUCAACCUUAUUUGUCUGCACACGCCUUCCCCUUUCACGGUCAAACCUGUGCCCAUUAUUACCCCAUAUCCGAUCGUGCCCGACAAUGGAAGUCCUUCAUCCUACACUAGUCCAGCUGAGAUGAAAUUAUGAGAAGCCCUACUAUCCACUAGUACCACCACCUUCUUCUGGCCAAUCCAUCCCUGUAGCUUCAUCGUUCCAGGUGCCGUGAGCCCAACCACCGAAUUAAUGGAGAGUUCGACCGGUUGACCCAUCGAACCUCCCCCCGGUUCGGUCGCUACCUGGUCGUCCAUCGCGACUCCGCCUCCCACCAACUCUUCCGGCACCGCCUGCUCCGAGUCUUCCAACUCCCGAAUCACCAGUACUUGCAGCUCCUUACUCUUACAUUUAUGGCCAAUAGUAAAUUUUUCGUCACAACGGUAGCAUAGGCCUCUUUCUUUCUUUCUUUGAAGCUCUGCGUCAGUGAGCCUCCUGAAGGGUGCGGACGAUUUGGAAUAUGGGUUGGGAUGAUUUGUGGUUAGAUGUAAGGGAAUUGUGGUUCGGGCUUGGGCGAUCUGGGUUUGUGGGGGAUUUAGGCUAUUGUAUGGGAUACUUUUGGGUUUAAUUGGGCUUAAAUUGGUAUGGGUAGUUUGGCUAACAAUAUUUCGGUCCUCCACCAUUUGGGCUAUCUCCAUCAUCUGCUCCAGGCCCACCGGUCUGAGUAAAUAGACUUCUGCUCUGAUUUCUGGCACCAACCCAUUAAGAAAAAUUGACUCCAGCAUCUCUUCAGAGAUGUCUUUCAACGGCGUGGCAAAUUUUCCAAACCUCCGGCGGUAAUUUCUGACCGUGUCCUCUUGCCGGAUAGAGAGAAAUUGAGCGCACAAGGACCCUCCCUGUGUGGACCGAAAUCGGCGAAGGAGUUGAGCCUUUAGAUCCUCCCAAUUUGUUGGUGGCCUUCGUUUCUCUUCCCACUUAUACCACGCCAGGGCUUCACCGUCAAAACACACAACAACUGCCUCCACUUUAUCCUCUUCACUUAUUCGGUUGAGGCUAAGAUACCUCUCCACACGAAAUAUCCACCCAUCUGGAUCAUCUCCCUCAAAAACGGGCAUCUCCAACCGUCGGACUCGUGGUUCCGACCUCCAAUCAUUGCCUGACCCCACGUUGUUCUGACUCCCCUUUAAGCUGGACUGUGUUACCCCAGAUUCCUGUUGUGCCACCGGGGAGUUUUCCAUGGCUGGGCCCUUAUCCUUUCGUUCCCUUUCCUGAUUUUCCCAAGUGCGCAGCAGAAGAUUGAACUUGGAAUGUAUCGACUUAAACUCCGAUCGAAGGAUUUCGAGACCGGUCUGCAUCUCCUGAUGGUUACUCUCAACCCUUUGUUCCAAUUCUCCCAUUCUGUCCGCAAGCGUCAUGGUUCUUAUUUGGGCUGAUUUUGGGUGCUCUGAUACCAAUAUUGAUGGGAUAAAAAUGGAAAAUAGUGAUGGGACACAGCAACAAUGGUAUAUGGAAGCUAGAAGAACUUUUAUAGUAAUGAAAACAACGAGUUACAGCAACUAAAUGAUAAUAGGCAGCCUUUCGAGAGGGCCGGAUCUCUCCUAAAUGGCACUUACAUCAAUCAGGUCAUACCUCUCCUCCUUUCUCCCCUCUUAUUUAUAAGUGUGCCAAAACAGAUUCCUAACAGAAUUAGUUACUACCCCCACUCCCUCCCCUUCUCUUGAUUCUUCUAGAAUACAUGUGCGUGAUUGGGGGCCUAUCAAAAGAAUUACAGUGCUGGAAUUGUUUGAUGAAGAAGAAGAAGCGACUUGGACCAGAUAAGAUAAAAUAACAUUGUCUUGUGAUAGAAGGGGAAAUCAUUAUAUCUUAAAA